rnacentral:rRNA from 1 species
GAUGAACGCUGGCGGCGUGCCUAAUACAUGCAAGUCGAGCGAAUGGAUUAAGAGCUUGCUCUUAUGAAAUUAGCGGCGGACGGGUGAGUAACACGUGGGUAACCUGCCCAUAAGACUGGGAUAACUCCGGGAAACCGGGGCUAAUACCGGAUAACAUUUUGAACUGCAUGGUUCGAAAUUGAAAGGCGGCUUCGGCUGUCACUUAUGGAUGGACCCGCGUCGCAUUAGCUAGUUGGUGAGGUAACGGCUCACCAAGGCAACGAUGCGUAGCCGACCUGAGAGGGUGAUCGGCCACACUGGGACUGAGACACGGCCCAGACUCAUACGGGAGGCAGCAGUAGGGAAUCUUCCGCAGUGGACGAAAGUCUGACGGAGCAACGCCGCGUGAGUGAUGAAGGCUUUCGGGUCGUAAAACUCUGUUGUUAGGGAAGAACAAGUGCUAGUUGAAUAAGCUGGCACCUUGACGGUACCUAACCAGAAAGCCACGGCUAACUACGUGCCAGCCGCCGCGGUAAGAC